rnacentral:rRNA from 1 species
UACGUAGGGUGCAAGCGUUGUCCGGAAUUAUUGGGCGUAAAGAGCUCGUAGGCGGCCUGUUGCGUCCGCUGUGAAAGCCCGGGGCUUAACCCCGGGUCGGCAGUGGAUACGGGCAGGCUAGAGGUAGGUAGGGGAGAAUGGAAUUCCCGGUGUAGCGGUGAAAUGCGCAGAUAUCGGGAGGAACACCGGUGGCGAAGGCGGUUCUCUGGGCCUUACCUGACGCUGAGGAGCGAAAGCGUGGGGGAGCGAACAGG